GUCAAAUUGCUAUGUAUUCCCUUGAUUCUGUUGACCUCGUUGUCUUCUUUUGUUGACAAGUAUGUUGAUACCCUCCAUGGCAUUCACUUUGCGAGGAUUUUGAACUUGUUGCAACUGUGCCUUUGCUAGUUGGUUCAUUGUGGUUGUCAACUGAGCUAUAGCCUACCCAUGAUCAUGUAAUUCCUUGUGCAAAUGAGUAGCCGUGGGGUCACCCUAGGGCCUAUUGGCUCUACUUUGCCACACAAAAGAAGUGUCAACCAUCUCGUCAAGAAUAUCACAUGCGUCAUCAUACGACAACUUCAUAAAGUUGACCCCAUCAAGUUGGUUCACUAUGCAUUGAUUUGUAGUAUUAAUGCCCCGGUAGAAGGUUUGUUGGAUCAUCGCCACGGUCAUAUCAUUAUUGGUGCAUUCCUUUACCAUUGUUCUAUAACGCUCCCAAAUCUCAUGAAAAUGUUCCGUAGGCUCUUGCUUGAAGACCAAUAUCUCAUCUCUCAAUGAAUCAAUAUGUCCCGGUGAGAAAACUUUUGCAAUGAACUUGUCCGCCAACUCAUCCCAAGUAGUGAUGAAAUGGUUGGGAAGUCGCUCAAGCCAAAUGGGAAGAGCCUAUACCUAAGAUCAAGGAAAGGUCUCGCUAAUAUGAUAGGAACUUCAUAAUCCACCCGCAUUCCAAGGUCACAAAGUCAGCUGACAAGAAAAAUUAUUCCACUCGAACAAGCACAUCAUCAAUAAUACCCAAUGGUCUCUUCAUUGAUCUAUCCGCCAUUUACAACCUCAUGGAAGUCGGCCUUGGUUGCCCGAUACUCAAAGAUUUAAAAAUCGAGUAGGACAUCAAAUUGAUACUAGCUCCCAAAUCACAUAGAGCUUUAGAAAAAUCUGCACUCCCAAUGGUGCAAGGAAUGGUAAAAACACCGGGAUCUUCAAGCUUCGGGGCCAUUGAAUAAACUAUAGCACUAACUUGGCGAGUCAUCUUUAUAGUUUCACAAUCCAUAGACCGCUUCUUUGUAACCAAGUCCUUCAUGAAUUUAGCAUAGCCCGAUAUUUUUUCAAGAGCCUCCACCAAAGGCACAUUAAUGGAAAAUCUCUUCAUUAUGUCAAUGAACUUUUUAAAUUGAUUCUCAUUUUCUACUUCACGAUCCUUUGAGGAUAAGGUGGAGGUGGCCUUGGCAAAGGAGCCUUGUCUUUAGGCACAACCGGUGUCUAUCAUGUAUUCCUUUUUAGGCGGGUUCGCAUCAUUUUCAGUUUCCACCUCGGCAUCUUGAAUAUCAAUCCUCACUUCUUCAUUCACGUUCUCAUUAAUCCUAUUUUCAACUUCCAAAGGAACUUCAUCUUCUUGCAACUCAACAUCAUCACUCAAAACUUGCUUUUGUUUGGAGGCAUUCACAUCACCGCCUCAUCCACUCCUUGUAGUUACCGUCAUAACAUGAUUGUUCCCACCC
rnacentral:lncRNA from 1 species